rnacentral:tRNA from 1 species
UUCCCUAUGGCUCAGUUGGUAGAGCAUGGUGUUUGCAACGCCAGGGUUGUGGGUUCGAUUCCCAGUACAAAAA